AGAGUUUGAUCAUGGCUCAGAUUGAACGCUGGCGGCAGGCUUAACACAUGCAAGUCGAGCGGUAACAGGAGAAGCUUGCUUCUCGCUGACGAGCGGCGGACGGGUGAGUAAUACUUAGGAAUCUACCUAGUAGUGGGGGAUAGCUCGGGGAAACUCGAAUUAAUACCGCAUACGACCUACGGGAGAAAGGGGGCAACUUGUUGCUCUCGCUAUUAGAUGAGCCUAAGUCGGAUUAGCUAGAUGGUGGGGUAAAGGCCUACCAUGGCGACGAUCUGUAGCUGGUCUGAGAGGAUGAUCAGCCACACCGGGACUGAGACACGGCCCGGACUCCUACGGGAGGCAGCAGUGGGGAAUAUUGGACAAUGGGGGCAACCCUGAUCCAGCCAUGCCGCGUGUGUGAAGAAGGCCUUUUGGUUGUAAAGCACUUUAAGCAGUGAAGAAGACUCCAUGGUUAAUACCCAUGGACGAUGACAUUAGCUGCAGAAUAAGCACCGGCUAACUCUGUGCCAGCAGCCGCGGUAAUACAGAGGGUGCAAGCGUUAAUCGGAAUUACUGGGCGUAAAGCAAGCGUA
rnacentral:rRNA from 1 species